rnacentral:rRNA from 1 species
UACAGAGGUCUCAAGCGUUGUUCGGAUUCAUUGGGCGUAAAGGGUGCGUAGGCGGCGCGGUAAGUCGGGGUGUGAAAUCUCGGAGCUUAACUCCGAAACUGCAUUCGAUACUGCCGUGCUUGAGGACUGGAGAGGAGACUGGAAUUUACGGUGUAGCGGUGAAAUGCGUAGAUAUCGUAAGGAAGGCCAGUGGCGAAGGCGGGUCUCUGGGACGGUACUGACGCUGAGACGCGAAAGCGUGGGGAGCGAACAGG